UCUGGUGGCAUGCAGACAGAAGACUGAAUACAUAAAUAUAUUAAAAAUCUUUGUGAAUGUGAGCAUGCAUGGUGCACAUGUGGAGGUCAGAACAACCACGGGUCUCUGUUUCCCCUUCCUUGCUUGUUCUCUCUGUACAUCCAGCUGUCUAGCCUAGCUUGUGAGCUUCUGCAAAUUCUUGUCUCUACCUCCCACCUUGCCUAUGAGCCAAGAGGUAUGUUACCAUGUUCAGCUUUGUACAUAGGUUCUGGGGAUAUGAACUCAGGCCCUCAUGCUUGUAUCAUUCCAGACUCCCAGCCAAGUAGUUUAUUGGUAUGCAGUGACCCUUUACUGUGAUAGUUAACUCUAAUAUAAAUAUUCUACCAUAAAUAUCAAUGUGAGGACAUCAACUUCCUUUUGGCUAUAAUUUGUAAGAUAAUUUAAUAUUUUUAUUUUCAAUCUUUAUACUCUUGCAUAUAUUUCCUGUAAGAAUAAUAUGCAUUAUUUUCCUUUUUGGAAAUCCAAGGUCUUAUACUUGACUACUGAGCUACGUCCUUAGUUAACCCAUGUCUGUCUUUUCACUGUAGUCAUUAGUAAUUCACAGCUAAUUUUCUUUUUUGAAUUGAUUUUUACUUUUUACUCCUACGUGAGUAUCAUAUUCCACUUGAUUUAAUAUGCACCCAAAAAAGACAUGAAUAUAACACUUGUAUGUGUACAAUCACACAAAAUGAUGAAGCCUCAGAAAUUGGAACUUCCAAGACAGAUUAGUAAUUUUCUACCUAAACAGAUAGCAUAUAAGACCUAGUAAUAAGAUCCAUAAAUACAUAUGUCUAAGCUUAUAGCUUGUUAAAGCCAUUUCCUCUCUGCCUAUUACACAGUGAUGCCAUUAGUAAAUGUGUGUUCAUUCUAUCUUGCUAAAAAUUUUCCUCCUAAUAUUCAGUCCAGGGAGAACUUUAAAAAUAUCACAAAGAUUUAUUUUUCACUACAACUAUUCUGUUGCCAGGUGUGAUACCUUUAAUCCCAACAUUACGGAGGCAGAGACAGGUGGAUCUCUGAGUUGGAGACCAGCCUGAUCUAACAAACAUUCAAGAAAUGGAAAUACCAAGUAUUCUUCUAAAACCUUUCCAGAAAGAUUGUGCUAGUAGCAGUCUCUAAGAAGGUGCCUUAACUUCCCUAGCAGCAGCACUGCUUUGUAUCUUUUUAAAAUUAUGGAUGAUCCGAUACAUUAAACUGGGUUAUCAGAUGA